UACGUAGGGUGCAAGCGUUAAUCGGAAUUACUGGGCGUAAAGCGUGCGCAGGCGGUUUGUUAAGUCUGUUGUGAAAUCCCCGAGCUCAACUUGGGAAUUGCAAUGGAUACUGGCGGGCUUGAGUGUGGCAGAGGGGGGUGGAAUUCCGCGUGUAGCAGUGAAAUGCGUAGAGAUGCGGAGGAACACCGAUGGCGAAGGCAGCCCCCUGGGCUGACACUGACGCUGAGGCACGAAAGCGUGGGGAGCAAACAGG
rnacentral:rRNA from 1 species